rnacentral:rRNA from 1 species
UACGAAGGGGGCUAGCGUUGCUCGGAAUCACUGGGCGUAAAGCGCACGUAGGCGGCUUCUAAGUCAGGGGUGAAAUCCUGGAGCUCAACUCCAGAACUGCCUUUGAUACUGGAGAGCUUGAGUCCGGAAGAGGUGAGUGGAACUCCGAGUGUAGAGGUGAAAUUCGUAGAUAUUCGGAAGAACACCAGUGGCGAAGGCGGCUCACUGGUCCGGUACUGGACGCUGAUGUGCGAAAGCGUGGGGAGCAAACAGG